GACGAACGCUGGCGGCGUGCUUAACACAUGCAAGUCGAACGGAAAGGCCCUGCUUUUGUGGGGUGCUCGAGUGGCGAACGGGUGAGUAACACGUGAGUAACCUGCCCUUGACUUUGGGAUAACUUCAGGAAACUGGGGCUAAUACCGGAUAGGAGCUCCUGCUGCAUGGUGGGGGUUGGAAAGUUUCGGCGGUUGGGGAUGGACUCGCGGCUUAUCAGCUUGUUAGUGGGGUAGUGGCUUACCAAGGCUUUGACGGGUAGCCGGCCUGAGAGGGUGACCGGCCACAUUGGGACUGAGAUACGGCCCAGACUCCUACGGGAGGCAGCAGUGGGGAAUAUUGCACAAUGGGCGGAAGCCCGAUGCAGCAACGCCGCGUGCGGGAUGACGGCCUUCGGGUUGUAAACCGCCUUCGCCUGUGACGAAGCGUGAGUGACGGUAAUGGGUAAAGAAGCACCGGCUAACUACGUG
rnacentral:rRNA from 1 species